CUGGGGGGGCCGGGGGCGAGGGCAGAGGCUGCGGCCGACUUGCGGAGCGGGAGGUGAGCCAAAUCUGGACAUCCUGGGAUUUCAGCAGAGGAACCGAGGUUCAGAGGGAGGACUUGGUCAAGGAUCCGGUAUUCCAGUAAAGCCUGACCCGUGUCCCGACUCUGCCUCAGAACACAGAUGCCUUCUUGGCAUCUCCAUCUCUGUCCAGCCUGCUCAGUUUCAGUUUAAGUUUGUGAAUGUCCUCCCACCACCGAGACAUCCGUUGUCCAUGCUGCAUCGUCUGCAGGAACAUCAAGACAGUCGGCACAAAGUCUGCUGCCUUCACUUAUCUCCUCUGAGCAAAUCCACUCUGCAUUUGCUGGGUGUCAUCAGAAAGAGCAGCCCUGCGCAGGGGUGGAUAAGUAGGGCUUAUUCUAGAUGACCUGGCAACCUCAUGUGUGCCAAGGAUGACUAGAGAGCUGAAAGAGUGAGUAAUGCAAAGAGGUGAUGGUCACCUCCCUGGGGGAGGAACAGACUUUUUCUCUGGCAGCACCUCUCCAAGAAGACAGGAGGUUUCAGUGCUAAUCAAGAGCUUGCUGCCAGGAGGAGGGGCUGCAGGAGGAGGCUCAGGGCACUGGGAAAAGAACUGAUAGGACAGUCGACAGGCUGGUGGGACCCACAGGACUUCCUCACACUCCACCAGGGCCAAGUAAGCAUCUUUUAUGUUUGGUUUUGGGUAUUGGGAGUUCACUCACUUAAAAGUAAAAGUAAAGGGCAUCCAGGAAGCUUAUACAAAGAACAGGCCUUGUUAUGUUUGUUUGUUUGUUUUAAUUUUCCGGAGGAUAUGUAUGCCAACUAUAGCCACAAGCCGCGACAAGCUGAUAACCAAACGACGCCAAGAUGAGAACAUCUGGCCUGGGAGGGCUCCGUAAAGAGGCAUACAAACCAGAAAGCAUUCCCCAGUGGGCCAUGCUCACACUGCAGUCUCGCCACCUGAGCAGAGUUUCUCAUUCUAUAGAGCAUGGCUCACAGUGGCCCUCCUCGUGCUAAGUACCCACCACCACAGUCUUCGAAAUCAACACACUUGGACCAUAUUUACCUGACUGCUUUCACAGAUGUUCAUAAACAACUUGUCUGCUUUCAAAGACCUGCAUAAACUACCUGCCUCAACCACUCAGAUAAACUGCAUCUCCUCAAACCACGGGCUGCUGAUAACCCAACUGGCUACAAAGACAAGGCCUGGCAUAGGGCAAGGCACAGGAGCUGGCACUCAGACCGCCCCAGGCCGUUCUCUCUGGCCACCUACGUGUGCCAGCCGGAGCAGCUCCAGCACUCACUUCGCAGGGCUCACUAGGAUCUGGAGGCACUGGGACUCCGGCCAGCCUGUGUAGGACCGGCACUCUCCACUGCAGCAUGAGGGAGGCUUGGCCGAGAUCUGCCAUGAUGCCACAUUGCUGACACGAGCACUGGAUGGAGGGUUCAUGAAGAUGGCUCCCUCCCAUGGAUGACUCUGGGUGGGCUCUUGGUGUGGGGCAGCACUGGCCUCAAGCAGGCUCACAACUCCCUGUCCUUUUUCCUGCUAGGCUUGGUCGUGAGCUAGAGCACUUGUGAAUAAAGCCUUGGCAUUGCGGAAAGACA